rnacentral:rRNA from 1 species
CUAAGCUGUAAAGGGCAAACGGCGGAUGCCUUGGUACCGAGAAGCGAUGAAGGACGCGGAUAGCUGCGAAAAGCAUCGGGGAGCCGCUAAACAGGCUGUGAUCCGGUGGUGUCCGAAUGGGGAAACCCGGUACGGUCAGUGCCGUACCAUCCGUAACCGAAUACAUAGGUUUCGGAGGCGAACGGGGUGAACUGAAACAUCUUAGUAACCCCAGGAAAAGAAAUCAACAGAGAUUUCCUUAGUAGCGGCGAGCGAACGGGAAACAGCCCAAACCGCAUAUGUGUAAGCCCGGAAGCGUUGCAUAUGCGGGGUCGCGGGAUCAGAUGUGAACCGGUUUCGGACGGUUCGGAGAGUUACAAAACGGAUAUAUAGGCGAAGCGUCUGGAAAGUCGCACCGCAGGGGGUGAGAGUCCCGUAGCCGAAAUGUAUCGGUCUCUUUAUCUGACUCCCAAGUACGGCGGGACACGUGGAACCCUGCCGGAAUUCGUGAGGACCAUCUCACAAGGCUGAAUAUUCCUCGGUGACCGAUAGUGGACAAGUACCGUGAGGGAAAGGUGAAAAGUACCCCGGUGAGGGGAGUGAAAAGUACCUGAAACCGUUUGCCUACAAGCAGUGGGAGCACGAUGUGUCCUCGGACACCGUGUGACCGCGUGCCUUUUGCAUAAUGAGUCAGCGAGUUGUUCUGCGCAGCAAGGUUAAGCCGGAAGGUGUAGCCGCAGCGAAAGCGAGUCUGAAAUGGGCGAAUGAGUUGCGCGGAGCAGACCCGAAACCGGGUGAUCUAUCCAUGGCCAGGGUGAAGCUCCGGUAAAACGGAGUGGAGGCCCGAACCGUUGCAGGUUGAAAACUGCUCGGAUGAGCUGUGGAUAGGGGUGAAAGGCCAAACAAACCCGGAAAUAGCUGGUUCUCUCCGAAAUAUAUUUAGGUAUAGCCUCGCGUCAUUCAGUAACGGGGGUAGAGCACCGGAUGGGCUAGGGGUCCUACCAGAUUACCAAACCUAACCGAACUCCGAAUACCGUUAACUGUUAUCGCGGGAGUCAGACUGCGGGAGCUAAGUUCCGUGGUCGAAAGGGAAACAGCCCGGAUCGCCGGCUAAGGUCCCUGAGUGCGUGCUAAGUGGGAAAGGAUGUGGGAAUGCACAGACAACCAGGAGGUUGGCUUAGAAGCAGCCACCCUUUAAAGAAAGCGUAACAGCUCACUGGUCGAGUGAGUCUGCGCCGAAAAUGUAACGGGGCUCAAGCACGCCACCGAAGCCGCGGGAUGUUUUUUAAACAUCGGUAGGAGAGCAUUGUGUGCGGGCCGAAGCCGUACCGUAAGGAGCGGUGGACCGCACAGAAGAGCCCAUGCUGACAUGAGUAACGAUAAAGCGGGUGAAAAACCCGCUCGCCGAAAACCCGAGGUUUCCUGAGUAAAGCUAAUCUUCUCAGGGUUAGUCGAUCCCUAAGCCGAGGCCGAAAGGCGUAGGUGAUGGAAAACGGGUUAAUAUUCCCGUACCACCGUGUAUUGUCUGAGAGAAGGGGGGACGCAGGAGGGCAGGUCAUCCGUCUGAUGGAACAGGCGGUUUAAGCACGUAGGCUGAGAGAACAGGCAAAUCCGUUCUUUUAUCCAAGGCCGAGAUGCGAUGACGAGGGACAUUGUCCCAUAAAGUGACUGAUCCCAUGCUGCCGAGAAAAGCCUCUAUUUAGAUACAAGGUGAUCGUACCGUAAACCGACACAGGUAGGUGGGGAGAGAAUCCCGAGGCGCUUGAGAGAACCCUGGUUAAGGAACUCGGCAAAAUGACACCGUAACCUAGGGAUAAGGUGUGCCCCUGUUAUGUGAAGCAAUUUUCUUGCGGAGCAGAGGGGGGCCGCAGAGAAAUGGCGGUAGCGACUGUUUACUAAAAACAUAGGACUCUGCAAAGUCGCAAGACGAGGUAUAGGGUCUGACGCCUGCCCGGUGCCGGAAGGUUAAGGGGAUCUGUCAUCUUCGGAGAAGCAGUGAACCGAAGCCCCGGUAAACGGCGGCCGUAACUAUAACGGUCCUAAGGUAGCGAAAUUCCUUGUCGGGUAAGUUCCGACCUGCACGAAUGGCGUAACGACUUCCGCACUGUCUCAACCAGGGACUCAGUGAAAUUGUAUUGGCGGUGAAGAUGCCGUCUGCCCGCGAAAAGACGGAAAGACCCCGGCACCUUUACUACAGCUUGACAUUGGAUUUUGAAACAGUAUGUGUAGGAUAGGUGGGAGGCUGUGAAACAGGCACGCCAGUGUCUGCGGAGCCACCCUUGAAAUACCACCCUUGCUGUUUUAGGGUUCUAAUUCCGACCCGUGAUCCGGGCGGAAGACAGUGUCUGGCGGGUAGUUUGACUGGGGCGGUCGCCUCCCAAAGAGUAACGGAGGCGCGCGAAGGUUCCCUCAGGCCGAUUGGAAACCGGUCGCAGAGUGCAAAGGCAUAAGGGAGCCUGACUGCGAGGGAGACAUUCCGAGCAGGUACGAAAGUAGGUCUUAGUGAUCCGGCGGUCCCGAAUGGAAGGGCCGUCGCUCAACGGAUAAAAGGUACGCCGGGGAUAACAGGCUGAUCGCAUCCAAGAGUUCACAUCGACGAUGCGGUUUGGCACCUCGAUGUCGGCUCAUCACAUCCUGGGGCCGGAGCAGGUCCCAAGGGUUCGGCUGUUCGCCGAUUAAAGUGGUACGUGAGCUGGGUUUAAAACGUCGUGAGACAGUUUGGUCCCUAUCUUUCGCGGGCGCAGGAUAUUUGAGAGGAUCUGUUCCUAGUACGAGAGGACCGGAACGGACGAACCAAUGGUGUUCCGGUUGUCGCGCCAGCGGCACCGCCGGGUAGCCAGGUACGGAAAGGAUAACCGCUGAAAGCAUCUAAGCGGGAAGCCCCCCUCAAGAUUAGAUAUCCCAUCGGCAUAAGCCGACUGAAGACCCCUUGAAGACCACAAGGUUGAUAGGCCGGGUGUGCAAGUGUGGCAACACACUGAGCUGACCGGUACUAAUCGGUCGUGAGGCUUAGCCAC